UUUAUACACACCCUCCAGGCCCAACACCGUCCGGUCCACUUCUUCCUCAUAAGGAAGCCAUCUGCAACUAGGGUUCAUAGCCAGUGACCAACAUGAGUGACCGAAGGUACGGGUACUCGUACCCACACAACCAAGGGUAUUACAACGGACCGCCGGUGAUGGCGCCGCCGCAGUACGCGCCGCCGCCGAGACGGCAGACGGGGUUCCUCGAAGGAUGCCUUGCUGCUCUGUGCUGCUGCUGCCUCGUCGACGAAUGCUGCUGCGACCCAUCGAUCAUAUUCGUGAGCUGAUGGAAACACGUACGCGGCCCCAGAUGACGAACGAUCUACGUUAACGUGGUACUGUAGUACAUAUGCGAUUGUAAGUGUCGUGUGUAUGUGUGCUUCCCUUCCGCUGCUGGUUUCAGCUAUAGCAAUAGCAUAUAUGCCCCUAGAGGCCUAGACCAAAGUAGAAUUACAGAAAGAAUAGCCAGCAGUCCUGCCGUUCGGUUCAGCUCUCCAACGACAGGACCGGUGGGUGGCGUAUGGAUGUAUGUAUGUAACUACGUAUGCAUGUAUGUACGUAUAUGUAUCAUUGUUGUCUUAUGCGAGUCUAUGAAUAAGAUGAGGAAAAAGUAAGUUUUUUUUUGCGAGGCAAGAAAAAAAAAG